GGUUGUUAAGACUAAAUUAAAAAAGUCUUUCAGAAUUGUUUUAUAGCAUUAAAACCUACGUCGAGUUUAAAUUUGUGGUUAUAUUAAAAAUACACACUGUGUAACAAACUUGACAGAAUUCUGAAAAAAAAUUUAGACACUCAAAUAUCAAGCGUGGCUGUUUGAAAAUGUCCCUUGUUGUGGAAAAAAAUAACGAAGUGACAUUACGUCACUGCAACAUCAUAUUUUUAGUGUGAAAUGAAAAUAAAUUACUUUGUAUCGUUGCUUUUUAAAGAGUUAUUUUGGACGAGCAUUUUAUGUUUUGAAUGACCAACUCAAUAUUCAAUGGCGUGCCGUACACAACGUAUAUUGUUAUUGCGAUUAUAGUGGUUACAGUAAUAUUUUAUUUAUACAGACGUUUCAAACAUGAGAAGUGAACAAAUUCAAGAUGACAAGAACGAUGUCUCAAUUUGGUAUCGAAAGAAACAUGAAAGGUGACAUUUGCUGAUACGUGUUAAAUGAAGAUACAAUGUUAAUUUCGGUCCACUAACCACAUAGAAAAUGCUGUUGUUGAUUGCCUUUUCACAAGUAAAUAUAAUAAAAUAUUGAAGAAUG